AGGGCCUUCGGAGAAUAUGCAGAAUGUGUAAGUGCCACACUUUUGAAGGCAACAAUGUUUGGCUCCUUGCCUAAGGAUAGAGGCAGAUAUCAUGGGAGCCCAGGAGAGUGUGUGACCCCUACAGCCAGCACUAAUGAGUAUGCUAAAAUAUAAUCUUAAGGACAUGUGGAUAUAGACCACCAUAUAUCUUAUGGUUACCAUUUCUUCAGCAUUACUGUUGCAUAGCUGGUCAUCUAUAGCUCUAUCACUGAUCUCUGAAGUAGCCCUAUCAAUCUGAACUUUGGAAAUUAUAUAGUAAGUUCUGUUCCUGAGCCCAGCAGGGAUUGGGGGGAACCAUUUAGUGGCUCCCAGUGGUGGUCUACUUAGUUCCAAAUAGCAUCUCCCUCUAUAUUCCUCAGGCAGUCAUGGGUAUACAUGGGGUCCUCAUAUCCAGUAAGUGGGAGAAUUGGGAGUAGACCUACAGUUAUUGACAAAACCUAGAGUCCCAAUUUUUGGUACUUAAUAUGGAUGUUAUAAUAUAGGACUUUUAUGAGCAUCCUUGAUGUUACAAAUGCUGGUGCCUAGUCCCUUUAUCUCAGACUCAGAGAAAGCAUAUUUAUAUAGGGUUGGGACUAUGCCUUAGGAUGGCAGGAGCCGGGAAUGUCAGGGGUUGGGGAAUAGAUCUUCCCUCUCAUGGGUCCAGUUAAAUGACUAGGUACAAUCAGCCCUGUUCCAGCUGAUAGAGAUUUGGUAAGUCUAAUAUGCCCUAUCCCCACAUAUAUUUUCUCUCUUAACUGCAGGAGAGCCUUCCAUUUAUCAUCCCUUUUAAACGUAGCCUUUGUGUAGGCUAUCCAGCUUCUAGACUUUGCCUGGUUUUUUAUUCAGUACCAUGAUUUACCAUCCCUCAAUUGUUAUAGAAUAAAGUAUGUAUCUCCAGCAGUUGGGCUAUGUAUUAUUCUGUAUCUGCAGCCUCUAGGCUAAUUAGAUAACUUGGUAUAUAGCCAAACAAGUGAUUUAGUAUCUUCUUGAGGAAAUUCAAUUACUACAGGUGCUCUGAAUCACCUGAGAUGUCUAGGGCAAUGACUGUGAUCAUUCAAGGUAAAACUCAUAUAAUCAGUGUUUUUUUUUUUUAAUGUACACACACACACACACACACACACACACACACACACACACACACACACACUAGAAUGAGGACUAUUUGCUUGCUGGCUGUAACCUUAUUUAAAUUGGUAUUAUAGCUAGCCCUUCCAUAAUUAAUCUUCACUGUCUUCAGUGCAGGUAGCAGAAUCCUCUUUGUGUUUCUUUCAGAAAGUUUCCAUGCAGAGUUAGCUCCAGCUACAGCAAUAUGUCAUAGGCAUUGAACUUUGGGGCAAUGACUGGUCAGAGCUCCAAGCCAAAGAGUCCCCCGAAGAGAGCACUCUACUCACCUUCCUCACUGGGAACUAAUACCUGGAAUAGUACCAUACACAUCUUUGUCAUACUGAGCUUCUUUGUCUUACUAAAAUAAAGUUUUCUUUAAGAAGACUCUUCAGUGAGGAUGACUUUAAGAACAUGACCAGGACAACCAGUGUUCUCAAGGGAGGAGAUGGCAGACUCAUUGGUUUGGCAGCAGCCCAGGCCAGUUUUUCCCCUGCAACUUUCCAAGCUUGUUUCUGUAGUGGUUGGAGCCAAAUAACCACUCGUAGACUUUGUUAUAGAAGGAAUGGUGAAGUCAAAUACAAAGAGCAGAAUGGGGUCAGCUAGAUGCUUUCUAUAGGUAGCUAAACAUCAUUUAGUCAAACUAGGAUGAACUGUGAUAGGCAGCUAAAGGUUCUUUUCUGUGUGGGGAGAAAAGGAGAGGAUGGGGCAGAGAUAGUAUUGUCUCUUCCCUAUUUGUAUUACCUAUUCAGUGUUUUCAGGCCUGUUCUCUCUGUUAGCCUGUAGACUCCUGCAAGGGUACUUGUGACUUGCUGUUCCUGAAACAUUUGUGUCUCAACCACACCCCACACUAGACCCCACCUUCCAUAGCCGCGCGUCUGUUACUUGCACAUAAAGCCUCUGUUCCCAAAUGUUCCCAGUGGAGGAGGUGGCCUAAUUUGGGGUCACUGGCUUCCCUCUAGGGGCAGUUGUCUUGGAACUGUCUGAAGUUUGAACACAGGGUUGAAGGGCAGACAGUAUGGUUAACAAUCUUAUUAUUUCUCUUGGUAUUUCCUUACCAUGACAGUAAAGGUUGCCCAUCAAUUUGGGCCUCUUUUGGCCUGUCUUUUAAUAGCCAGACCAACCGGUCUUUCCACAGAGAACCUCUUUUUUUCUCUUUUUUAUAUCCCCCCACCCAUUUUCUUUUGGUUAUUUGGGGAGCUGAAAUUCCCAGAAGUCUUCCUAAGCCAUCUUUUCCAAAAUUAUGCAUAGAGACUGCUAGUUACCUACCACUCUAGUCAUUCUUCUUAUGAACAGAAAAAAAAAAAAAAAAAAAAAAAAAAACUACAUUGUCUGUCCUCCACUACCAGUAAGGAUGACACAGUGUGACACAGUCUUGUCAAUGAGGGGUAACUAAAUGUGUUAAGAGAAGUUUCUAGUAAAGCUCCUUAAAAAGGGGUAACUUCAGAGCACACACACUUUUGCUCUAAUUUCUGCCCCUUCUUCCUGUCUGUAUCUUAGGGGAGAUGCUAGACAUGGAACAGGCAUCUUGCAACAAUACAACCAUGUGAGAAAAGCCAAGUGAAAAGCUGGGGUCACAUCUGAAAAGACUGGGUUAACAGGACACAUAGGCACUGUGUGUGAACUCAAAACUGCAUAAUUUUUGCACACUGCCACCAUCCCUGCUGCCUUAGGUUGUAAAGAAAACAAAUCCCUUUGUGUACAACAGAUCUGUACUGCUCUUAUAUCUCUAACACUGUUUGCAGGAGGACUGUGCUGCCAUAAUUUACUCGUACCAUCUGCGACUUAGACAUUUUUUUACACCUAAAUUCUUUAAAAAAAUAGCCGUGUGUACCUCUUUGCUGUAAGUUCAAAACUUGACAUUUCUUAUCAAUGGAAGGUCUAAGAUCCUCCAGUGGAGUACAGGUAUACAAUUCGAAAACAAUUCGGUUGACAAUAAGUUCGCUAAUUUUGACAAUUAGACUUUAAAAAUUAGUACCACAGAUAUUUUAGAAUAGUAGUACUAUAAAUGUACCAUGAAAUGGUUUUGUAACACAUUACCAAUUUUAAAUGUGUAGAUCCAUAUUUUAAGUUUUGUGGAGAUGAAUUACUCUCUUUUUAGAUCCCUAUUUAUUUUCAGCCAGUCAUUCCAGCUUUGUAUUAUUUGUAAUAGUGAAACACCGAAACAGGUUCAGACCUAAAAACAUAAAGGGUUAUUGCAACAGCUUACGGAGUUACACAAAAGUUAUGGAUUACUUAAUUGUGGCCACAAAAUAAAAUCUACAACUCCCUCAGUUUACAGAAAGAUCACUUCUGUAUGCACAUGUAUAUUAUCAAGCCGUUACUGUUAUUUUCCUAGAUAAAUGGGCUAAUAGAAACUUUUAGUGUCCUAUUUAAUUUUUCUGUAAUGAACUGUUAUUAACUUUUCAUAAGAACGAUUUUUAAAAAUGAAAAGACUUCCUCUUGAUGGACAUUUAACAAGAGAAACAAAAAGUGUUGCUGAGAAAUGAAGAGCAUUCAGGAACAGCAGGAACCAGUGGACGCUCACUUUUGCUGCUGAGAUACCAUCACCGAUGACCCAGACUGCUCCAGGCUCAUGAACUGCUCCUGAGCUGCUUGUAGGACCUGAGUGGCCACGAGCCCUGGCUGCAAUGCCAGAGAUGCCCUCUCAUGUCUGCCUUUACUUCCACAUGUUGCCUUGUCCCAUCCCAUGCUCACGUGUCUCUCUGAUGCUUAAAAAGUAUGCUUUCGUGUAUUCAAUAAACGCUAGAAUUUGAGUUA